UUUUAGUUUUUUUAUUAAAAAUAAGAAGAAAGAAAUCCCCAAAAAUUCUACUCACCUUAUCCUAUUUUUUUCUCUUUCUCUCUCGCAUGUUGUCUUUCUUUCUUUCUUUUCCAGUUUCAAUUUUUGGUUCUUUUUGGCCAUUGAGUUUUUAUGGUGCCUUUAUUUUCUAGUUCUUUAGUUUCUCUUGUCACUAUUAGAUUAUCAAGGUUUGCUAAUUUUGCGCAACUUUGGUGGUUCCUUGAGGCCUUGGUUUCGGUUGCUUUGUUAGGAGAUUUGCAUGUUCAUUAGUUUUAGUGCUAAAACAUAGUGGUUUUGUGGAGGCGAAUCAAUUAGUUCUUGGUGCCUUGGGUCUCGAUUUAAGGUGUGUUUCUGAAUUAAAGUAGUUGGGGGUCAAUUUGAUGGUAAUUCGCGAGGUUAGAUUGUGGUCCAGCAUGUCGGAGGUCUCAAAGAGUUUUUUCUCGUGUUACUCGGUUUAAAUAAAAUUUCUAUGAGUUUAGUAUGGUAAUUUUUAAUCAAUUUAUAAAGCUAUUAUAUUUGGUUUUAAAAUAUUCGAUGCCACGCAUGAAAUUAAUUUCACACCACUUUAUUAUUCAUUUUAUAAACAUGCAAUUUUUAAGGUAAUAA